rnacentral:lncRNA from 1 species
CAGCUCAUUCCAAAAAUUUUUAGGAACAUUCCAGAUCCUUUGAAAAUGUCAAUGUUGCCCUCAAGGAUAUUUCUGCACAACUAGCAUUGUUGCAUGCUUCCUCUUCACCACAACUACCGCCGCCACCACCACCGCCGCCGACUACCACUAGCCCUUCCUCCAACAUCCCAAACCUUUUACCACCAACCUUUUUCCCCUCAAUCACCUAACCCUAAUUUUACCCAACCGCCUUAACCACACCCACUUGUAGUUCCUCCAAACACCCUUAACGAAUUUCGUCUUGAUAAACCUGCUCCGAUCGACCUACAAAAGUUCAAUGCCC